UACGUAGGGUGCGAGCGUUGUCCGGAAUUAUUGGGCGUAAAGAGCUCGUAGGCGGUUUGUCACGUCUGCUGUGAAAUCCCGAGGCUCAACCUCCAGCCUGCAGUGGGUACGGGCAGACUAGAGUGCGGUAGGGGAGAAUGGAACUCCUGGUGUAGCGGUGGAAUGCGCAGAUAUCAGGAAGAACACCGAUGGCGAAGGCAGUUCUCUGGGCCGUAACUGACGCUGAGGAGCGAAAGCGUGGGGAGCGAACAGG
rnacentral:rRNA from 1 species